rnacentral:rRNA from 1 species
GACGGAGGAUGCAAGCGUUAUCCGGAAUUAUUGGGCGUAAAGCGUCCGCAGGUGGCAGUUCAAGUCUGCUGUCAAAGACCGGGGCUUAACUUCGGAAAGGCAGUGGAAACUGAACAGCUAGAGUAUGGUAGGGGCAGAGGGAAUUCCUGGUGUAGCGGUGAAAUGCGUAGAGAUCAGGAAGAACAUCGGUGGCGAAGGCAGCCCCCUGGGUUAACACUGACGCUCAGGCACGAAAGCGUGGGGAGCAAACAGG